AAUGAUGAGAAAAGUCCAUCCUCUCUGUCUUUUGCUUGCUCCACUUUUCAGAAAAUGUGUGUUCAAACAGGCUGUUUGGAGAUUUUCCCUUCAUGACAUCACAAGGGGGGGAUAGCCCCUCCCCCAGGUGGGUGACACUCCCCCAGCUAGGUGUUUGUUCUGCCCUCUGAGUCUGCCUUCUCACCGUAAACAAUAGGACAUGGAGCGAGAAAGACCGAGUACACCAAGCCCUUCCAGAGAGGGGGCGUGGUCAGACACAGCUCAUUUACAUAUUUAAAGGUACAGACACAGAAACAGCCUGUUCUGAGCAGGGCUGAAGUAGAGGGGUUUAUAGACAUGAUCAAAUACAGGAUCAGAGUGGAUUUAGAACAAGACACUUUUUUUACACACGUUUUGAGGAGCUCUGAGACUUAUUUACAUUGAAGAAGAGGAGGAGGCUAUGUGACCUUUAAUUUCUGUUUGUUGGUGAUUCCAUACUGAUAAUAAUCCUCUGCUGACACCUUUAACUGUGUCACCUCCAGGCUCAACACACUCGAUGUUAAAGUUUGUAUUGAAACUGGUUUUUCACAACAAACACAACAAACUGCAGAUUUUUUAUAACCUUCUUUAUACACAGAAUAAAAACAACUCUUACAAACUGAAAACUUUCGACAGAGCUUCUCCUUUUUAGACGUCAUCUUAAUUUAGAGUUAAACAACACUUUCUGAAAUGUUAACAAUAAAUAGUCCAAAUAACAAUUUACAUUAUGUUACAAAAAGCGCAGAGAAUACUGGAAUUUGUACAAAUAAAUCCUUCAUCAGAAAAUAAAGACAAAACCUGCUGUUUACUCUCGGUAAGAA